rnacentral:rRNA from 1 species
UACGUAGGGUGCAAGCGUUGUUCGGAAUCAUUGGGCGUAAAGCGCGUGUAGGUGGCUAGUUAGGUCGGGUGUGAAAUCCCUGGGCUCAACUCCAGAACUGCCUUUGAUACUGGAGAGCUUGAGUCCGGGAGAGGUGAGUGGAACUCCGAGUGUAGAGGUGAAAUUCGUAGAUAUUCGGAAGAACACCAGUGGCGAAGGCGGCUCACUGGCCCGGUACUGACGCUGAUGUGCGAAAGCGUGGGGAGCAAACAGG